ACUCCUACGGGAGGCAGCAGUGGGGAAUUUUGGACAAUGGGCGCAAGCCUGAUCCAGCAAUGCCGCGUGCAGGAUGAAGGCCUUCGGGUUGUAAACUGCCUUUGUACGGAACGAAAAGCCCUGGGUUAAUACCCUGGGGUCAUGACGGUACCGUAAGAAUAAGCACCGGCUAACUACGUGCCAGCAGCCGCGGUAAUACGUAGGGUGCAAGCGUUAAUCGGAAUUACUGGGCGUAAAGCGUGCGCAGGCGGUUUUGUAAGACAGAGGUGAAAUCCCCGGGCUCAACCUGGGAACUGCCUUUGUGACUGCAAGGCUAGAGUACGGCAGAGGGGGAUGGAAUUCCGCGUGUAGCAGUGAAAUGCGUAGAUAUGCGGAGGAACACCGAUGGCGAAGGCAAUCCCCUGGGCCUGUACUGACGCUCAUGCACGAAAGCGUGGGGAGCAAACAGGAUUAGAUACCCUGGUAGUCCACGCCCUAAACGAUGUCAACUGGUUGUUGGGUCUUAACUGACUCAGUAACGAAGCUAACGCGUGAAGUUGACCGCCUGGGGAGUACGGCCGCAAGGUUGAAACUUAAAGGAAUUGACGG
rnacentral:rRNA from 1 species